UUCACGACGAUAAAUGACGGCAACCGUGCU
rnacentral:sRNA from 1 species